rnacentral:misc_RNA from 1 species
AACGCACGAGACCUGCGGACCUGCGGAAGGAUCAUUACCGAGUGAGGGUCCCCUCGCGGGGCCCAACCUCCCACCCGUGUCUACUGUACCCUGUUGCUUCGGCGGGUCGACCCCCCUUCCGGGGGCGCCUGCCCGCCGGAGACCCCCAACAUGAACACUGUACGAGAGUAUUGCAGUCUGAGUGGAUUGAUACCAAUCAGUUAAAACUUUCAACAACGGAUCUCUAGAUCGGAAGAGCAC